AUUUUAUAUUUUUAUAGAUUUUAACAUUUUUGGAAAAAUUAUCAAUAAAUAAUAUUAAUAUAAAAUUAUAAUCCGAAAAACUCAACACUAAAUGCCUGAACAAAAACACAAACAAACCCUAAACCCAAUCUUAAGCAUUAUUCUAAACCAAACCCUAAACCCAGCGUAAACUAUAAUCCUAAACGCUAAACCUUUCCUACUACCUAAACCCUACCUAAACCAAACCUAAACCCUACAUAAACCCUAAACCCAAACCUAACCCUAAUCCCUAAACCCUUCCAACUACCUAAACCUACCUAACCCUACCUAACCCUAAACCCUAUCUAACCCUAAACCCUAUCUAAACCUAACCCUAAACCCUACAUAAACCCUAAACCCUACAUAAACCUAACCCUAAUCCCUAAACCCUUCCUACUACCUAAACCCUAAACCCUAUCUAACCCUAACUAUAAACCCUACCUAACCCUAAACCCUACCUAAACCCUAAACCCUACCUAACCCUAAGCCCUAUUUAACCAUAAACCCUACUAACCCUAACCCUAAACCCUAUCUAACCCUAGACCCUAAAUCCUACCUAACCCUAAACCCUAUCUAACCCUAAACCCUAUCUACCCUAAACCCUAAACCCUGCCUAAACCCUAAACCCUACAUAAACCUAACCCUAAUCCCUAAACCCUUCCUACUACCUAAACCCUAAACCCUAUCUAACCCUAAACCCUAUUUAACCCUAAGCCCUAUAUAACCCUAAACCCUAUCUAACCCUAAACCCUAUUUAACCCUAAGCCCUAUAUAACCCUAAACCCUAUCUAACCCUAAACCCUGCCUAACCCUAAACCCUAUCUAACCCUAAACCCUACCUAACCCUAAACCCUACAUAACACUAAACCCUACCUAACCCUAAACCCUACCUAACCCUAAACCCUACAACCUACCUAACCCUAAACCCUACCUAACUAAACAUUCUACUAACCCUAACCCUAAACCCUAUCUAACCCUAAGCCCUAUAUAACCCUAAACCCUAUCUAACCCUAAACCCUGCCUAACCCUAAACCCUAUCUAACCCUAAACCCUAUUUAACCCUACCCCCUACUAACCCUAACCCUAAACCCUAUCUAACCCUAAGCCCUAUAUAACCCUAAACCCUAUCUAACCCUAAACCCUGCCUAACCCUAAACCCUACCUAACCCUAAACCCUAAAACCUACCUAACCCUAAACCCUACCUAACUAAACAUUAAACCCUGUCUAACCCUAAACCCUAUCUAACCCUAAACCCUACCUAACCCUAAACCCUAUCUAACCCUAAACCCUAUCUACCCUAAACCCUAAACCCUGCCUAACCCUAAACCCUACCUAACCCUAAACCAUACUAACCCUAAACCCUACCUAACCCUAAACCCUACCUAACACUAAACCCUACCUAACCCUAAACCCUACCUAACCCUAAACCCUAUCUAACCCUAAACCCUAUCUACCCUAAACCCUAAACCCUGCCUAACCCUAAACCCUACCUAACCCUAAACCCUAAAACCUACCUAACCCUAAACCCUACCUAACACUAAACCCUACCUAACCCUAAACCCUACCUAACACUAAACCCUACCUAACCCUAAACCCUAAAACCUACCUAACCCUUAAACCCUACCUAACUAAACACUAAACCCUGUCUAACCCUAAACCCUAUCUAACCCUAAACCCUAUCGAACCCUAAACCCUAUCUAACCCUAAACCCUGCCUAACCCUAAACCCUAUCUAACCCUAAACCCUACCUAACCCUAAACCCUACUA
rnacentral:lncRNA from 1 species